rnacentral:rRNA from 1 species
UUACCUACGGGAGGCAGCAGUGAGGAAUAUUGGUCAAUGGGCGGAAGCCUGAACCAGCCAAGUCGCGUGAGGGAAGAAGGCCCUGCGGGUCGCAGACCUCUUUGGACGGGGAGCAAGGCCGCCGACGUGUCGGCGGAAGGAGAGUACCCGUAGAACAAGCAUCGGCUAACUCCGUGCCAGCAGCCGCGGUAAUACGGAGGAUGCGAGCGUUAUCCGGAUUUAUUGGGUUUAAAGGGUGCGCAGGCGGAGGUGCAAGUCAGCGGUCAAAUUGCGGGGCUCAACCCCGUACUGCCGUUGAAACUGCA